rnacentral:rRNA from 1 species
GACGAACGCUGGCGGCGUGCUUAACACAUGCAAGUCGAACGGAAAGGCCCUGCUUUUGUGGGGGGCUCGAGUGGCGAACGGGUGAGUAACACGUGAGUAACCUGCCCUUGACUUUGGGGUAACUUCAGGAAACUGGGGCUAAUACCGGAUAGGAGCUCCUGCUGCAUGGUGGGGGUUGGAAAGUGUCGGCGGUUGGGGAUGGACUCGCGGCUUAUCAGCUUGUUGGUGGGGUAGUGGCUUACCAAGGCUUGGACGGGUAGCCGGCCUGGGAGGGAGACCGGCCACAGUGGGAUUGGGGAAGCGCCAGGACGGAAUCGGGGGGAAGGGGGGGGAAACUUUGCCAACCGGGCGGAGGGCUGAUGGAGCAACGCCGGGUGGGGAACGGCGGCUGUUGGGGAGGAAACCGUUUUGGCUUGUAACGAGGGGGGAGGACGGGAAAGGGAUAAAGAGCAACGGGCAAACUAGGG